rnacentral:rRNA from 1 species
GACAGAGGGUGCAAACGUUGUUCGGAAUUACUGGGCGUAAAGCGCGUGUAGGCGGCCAUGCAAGUCGGAUGUGAAAGCCCUCGGCUCAACCGGGGAAGUGCACUCGAAACUGCAAGGCUAGAGUCUCGGAGAGGAUCGUGGAAUUCUCGGUGUAGAGGUGAAAUUCGUAGAUAUCCGGAGGAACACCGGUGGCGAAGGCGGCUUCCUGGACCGAUCACUGACGCUGAGGCGCGAAAGCUAGGGGAGCAAACGGG